rnacentral:rRNA from 1 species
CUACGGGGGGCUGCAGUGGGGAAUAUUGGACAAUGGGCGAAAGCCUGAUCCAGCCAUGCCGCGUGAGUGAUGAAGGCCUUAGGGUUGUAAAGCUCUUUUACCAGGGAAGAUAAUGACUGUACCUGGAGAAUAAGCCCCGGCUAACUUCGUGCCAGCAGCCGCGGUAAUACGAAGGGGGCUAGCGUUGUUCGGAAUCACUGGGCGUAAAGCGCACGUAGGCGGAUUCUUAAGUCAGGGGUGAAAGCCUGAGGCUCAACCUCAGAACUGCCUUUGAUACUGGGAAUCUUGAGUAUGGUAGAGGUCGGUGGAACAGCAAGUGUAGAGGUGAAAUUCGUAGAUAUUUGCUAGAACACCAGUGGCGAAGGCGGCCGACUGGACCAUAACUGACGCUGAGGUGCGAAAGCGUGGGGAGCAAACAGGAUUAGAUACCCUCGUAGUC